ensembl:ncRNA asRNA:CR44124 antisense RNA:CR44124
CCCUCAAAACAGCCCGCUUUGGAGGUCGGGAUAUAGACCCCGAAAUAGGUCGACAUCUCUGCGUAAAAUGGCGGAUGCACUGCAAGUUCCGCUGAUGGCAAGCGAAGGCAACGGUAAAAAUAGGGUAACAUCAACCACAAAAUGCCAGGAACUCUACUGUCCCGUUUUGUUGUUGUUUUCGGCUGCACUCCUCCACUCGCACGCACACAAACACAACAACGCAAAAAAAAAACGGAAAAAAAACAGCACACGCACAUCAACAACCAGCGACGCGAACUCACGAGACCUGGAAGACCCAACGAAUCGGCGGAAUCACAAACAUAUAUCUUGUUAUUCUUACCUUUUAGCACAAAGGGCACAAUACAUGAAAC